GGCCGGCCUGACAUGCGCAGUGCGCGGGCGCUGCGACCGGGCGGGCCCCGGGUACGCCGAUGGCCCGGGACGCGGAGAAGCUGAGCCUGGGAGGCAGGUCCCACUGACAGCCCAGGCCAUGGGAUUUGAAGAACGUUGGUGUGGGAGACCUUCCCCAGAGCAUGGCCAGUCCUCUGAGGGCCACCAUCCCUACCUGCUUCCUACUGGGACCGUCCAGGGACAAGACUUCACCCAUCAAAUUCCUCAUCUCUGAAAACCGAGGAGGCAUCUGGAUCCAGGAGCUGUGCUCUGCGAGGAGCCUCCGCCGGCCACAACAGCUCUGGCAGCCGCCCUCCCUGUCCUCCAGGAGCUCACUUAUAUCUGGCCGUGAGCUCCUCGAGGCCAGAGCCCGCGUCUGCCUCCACUCAGCACCAAUCCAAGAUCCCCAGAGGCCGUGGCGCCCCCCACUACACACACAGGGCCACACGACUCCCAUUUUUCAUAGCAGCUUCUGUAGUGUACCAAAGCAGCAGCUUCCUAAAUCAUCAAUGCACAUUUUCUGAAGUUCCUGUUUUAAUCCGGAUACUGGGAACAGGGGCGCCUGGGUGGCUGUCAGUUAAUCUGCCUUUAGCUCAGGUCAUGAUCCUGGGAUCCUGGGAUCGAGUCCAACAUCAGGCUCCCUGCUCAGUGGAGAGCCUGCUUCUCCCUCUGCCUAACCCACCCCCUCCCCCCACUUGUGCACAUGCUCGCUUUCUCUCUCUCUCAAGUGAGUAAAAUUUUUUUUUUAAGUGAGUAAAAUUUAAAAGCAAGACACCAUGUCGUAUUUAUGGUGUGACUUUGCUUUUAUAAGAAAAAUGCAGCUUUGGGGCACCUGAGUGGCUCCAUCAGUUACAUAUCUGCCUUUGGCUCAGGACAUGGUCCCAGGGUUCUGGGAUCAAGCCCCGCAUUGGGCUCCCUACUCAGCAGAGACCCUGCUUCUGCUUCUCCCCCUGCCUCUAUUGUUCCCCCUACCUGUGGUUGGUUCAUGCACUAGCUCGCUCACUCUCUCUCUCUCAAAUAACAUCUUAAAAAAAAAAAAAAAGAUACUGCAAACAAAAUGAAACUGGAAAAUUGUCCCAUUUGCACAGAAGCAAAGAAGUGACUAUUCACAUGUUAACUCAGGCAGGUGUCUUGGGGUGGUGAGAGGGAGUUUGGGGAGAUCAGCCUGAGGAGGAAGGGGCAGUGCACCCCUGCACAUUUUACUGAACUGGAGUCUACUAGGUGUUGCUCUGGGUCUCUGGUCAUGGCCUUGACGCCAGUUCUGUAGACAGUGCCACCGAGGAACCCAGGUGGGGGGUAGGCAGGAGGUCUGUAUUGCCUCUAUCAGCUGCAUGUGUGUCUACUUAUAUCAAAAUAAAACAUUGCAUUGAAAAAUUCUAGGAAAUACUCUCGUUUGUCCUUGUUUAUAGAAAAGGAA